CUUCUCAAUUUUUCUCUGAAUUUCCUCUAUCUUUCUUACGCUAACAGUAACAAUGGAGGAACAAAACUCUUCCUUUUGCUCUCAAUUCCCUUCACCGAACAAUCAACAACACAAACCCCUCUCUCCAUUUCUUUCUCCCACUCGUCAUCUCUCUCUCGUUCUCCGACGAAACAAACGCAACACUCUCUCUCUCGGAGCAACAACACAACUCGGCUUCUUUGCGGUAACAACAACAAAACGAUGCUCUUUCACUGGGUUUCUCUCGGCGGCCAUGAAGGAACAAAAGCUCUCAUACAAAAAAUAACAACUGCAAGCAUAAUCAGUAACUAAAAUUACAGUAAUAACAGUAUGGAGAGUAAGAGUGGAAUCGAGUUACCUACGGCAAGGAGGAUUUUGCCGCUUCACCACAAUUUGUUGCUGGAAGCGUCGGUGUUGAAAUUGCAGGUGACGUGUGUAUGAGGUGUAGACACGGGGCUGCAACGUUGAAGGCUCCCUUUGAUGAAGGUGAUGCCUCUUUUUUUUUGAAAUUGCUUAGGACUUGAAGAUGGAUUUCAAGUAGGAACUCUCCACACCAAGGUAUGAAGAAUUUAUUCUUCACUCCCUUUGUAACUAGAAACUCUUACUUUUCAAGUGGUUUUCUUUGGUUUUGAAGAAUUUCUCCUUCUUACCAAGAAACUUUAAAACUAUGAGAAGAGGGAGAAGUGAGAAAGCAAGUAGUUUAGUUGCUUUGGUGUGUCUUGCUUCAAAGAGAAACACUUCUAUUUAUAGGCCAAAUUUAGGGAUGUGUUAGGAAUUAGGAAACUUGAUUGGAAUGUUAUGGUCAUUGCAAGAAUAAGAAUAUAUUCUUCAUCAUUGCAAGAAUAAGAAUAUAUUCUUCAUCAUUGCAAGAUAAGAAUAAGAAUAAGAAUAUUCUUAUACAAAGAUAUUUUUCAUGAUAUAAGCCAUGUGUGUAAAUUUUUAUGUCAUUUUAUGAUAUCUCUAAGUUGCAUAAUUUUAUGACAUAAAAAUCUCUCUUUGACAUUCUUUGACUUUUGCUAAUUUCACCCCCUUUUUGUUUUCUUUUUUUUCAUGUUGCAUGAGAACCUUGAAGAAAAGCAUGAAGAAAUUUGAUCUUGAAGAAUGAAGACUUGAAGAAUUCAAGAAUUGCAUUUGAAGUUUUAUUUUUUUCUUUUCCUUGUAAUUCCAACUUUGUAUGAAUGAAACUUUGUAUUCUUGCAAAUGAAUGGAAUUUUGUAAUUCUUGAAUUUUGGAUAAAGUCCCUUUGUAAUUCAUUUGAAAAUUGAAACUUUUUCA